ensembl:snRNA U6 U6 spliceosomal RNA
GUGCUCGCUUUGGCAGCAUACAUACUAAAAUUGGAACAGUACAGAGAAGAUUAGCAUGGCCCUGUGCAAGGAUGACAAGCAAAUUUGUGAAGCGUUCUAUAUUUUU